rnacentral:lncRNA from 1 species
CAGCCCGGGAGGCAAAUAAGCCAGCCUCCUCGUCAUUUUCUCCUCCAACCGUCACUGUGCAAGCAUCAACCACCGCAGCCGUUUCGCCGCGCCGCCGAUUCACCUUCGGUCGCCACCGAUUCGCCAUCGGUCGUCGCCGUGCCUCCCUGGAAGCUUCGGCCGCAUCUUGUUACCACCAUCCGUGGCCGGAUCCAGGAGAAAGACGCCGCCGCCCCACUCGACGCCGCCCCGCUCCACCGGCGCAACGCCUCCCCGCAACCACCGCCGCGAAAUCAGGCGUGAACCGUCGGAUUCGUCGAAGGGAGAAGAU